GUCGAGAAUCUUUCACAAUGGGGGCAACCCUGAUGGAGCGACGCCGCGUGGAGGAUAAGGUCUUCGGAUUGUAAACUCCUGUCAUGCGUGAACAAGGUUGCUUGGUUAAUACCUGGGCAAAUUGAUGGUAACGCAAGAGGAAGAGACGGCUAACUCUGUGCCAGCAGCCGCGGUAAUACAGAGGUCUCAAGCGUUGUUCGGAAUCACUGGGCGUAAAGGGUGCGUAGGUGGCGUGGUAAGUCAGAUGUGAAAGCCCGGGGCUCAACCUCGGAACUGCAUCCGAUACUGCCAUGCUAGAGUACUGGAGAGGUGACUAGAAUUCUCGGUGUAGCAGUGAAAUGCGUAGAUAUCGAGAGGAAUACCAAAGGCGUAGGCAGGUCACUGGACAGUUACUGACACUGAGGCAUGAAGGCCAGGGGAGCGAACGGGAUUAGAUACCCCAGUAGUCC
rnacentral:rRNA from 1 species